AUACGGAGGGUGCGAGCGUUAAUGGGAAUUACUGGGCGUAAAGCGUGCGUAGGCGGUUUGCUAAGUCAGAUGUGAAAGCCCCGGGCUUAACCUGGGAACUGCAUUUGAUACUGGCAGACUAGAGUAUGAUAGAGGGGGGUAGAAUUCCUGGUGUAGCGGUGGAAUGCGUAGAUAUCAGGAGGAAUACCAGUGGCGAAGGCGGCCCCCUGGAUCAAUACUGACGCUGAGGUACGAAAGCGUGGGGAGCGAACAGGAUUAGAAACCCUAGUAGUCC
rnacentral:rRNA from 1 species